UACAGAGGUCUCAAGCGUUGUUCGGAUUCAUUGGGCGUAAAGGGUGUGUAGGUGGCGCCGUAAGUCGGGUGUGAAAUUCGGAGCUUAACUCCGAAACUGCAUUCGAUACUGCGGUGCUUGAGGACUGGAGAGGAGACUGGAAAUUCAUGGUGUAGCAGUGAAAUGCGUAGAGAUCAUGAGGAAGACCAGUGGCGAAGGCGGGUCUCUGGACAGUUCCUGACACUGAGACACGAAGGCCAGGGGAGGCAAACGGG
rnacentral:rRNA from 1 species